rnacentral:rRNA from 1 species
GAAAAACCAGAAAAGAAAUGGAAAAAAAAAAC